GUCUGUGUGGAUGAUGUACACAGUCUGGCCUGCCCCCUGAGAAUUUAAAGGGCCGCGGUAUCUGAACCGUGCUAAGGUAGCAUAAUCAAUAGUCUUUUAAUUGGAGUCUAGUAUGAAUGGUCGGACAGGAGGUAAGCUGUCUUAAUUGAAAAGAUUGAAUUUUACUUUUAAGUGAAAAGGCUUAAAUUAUGUGAUGGGACGAUAAGACCCUAUAAAGCUUUACAUUCUAGUUGUUAGUUGAGGAAGUUAAGGUUUUCUGUUCUUGUCAGCUAGUGUGUUUCGUUGGGGCGACGAAGAUAUAAGAGGUAACUGUUUUUAUUAAAAAAUAGAUAUUUUUAGGAGUACUGAUCCUUAAUAAAGAUUAUAAGAAUAAAGUUACUUUAGGGAUAACAGCGUGAUUUUUCUUGAGAGUUCAUAUCGACAGAAAUAGUUGCGACCUCGAUGUUGAAUUAAGGUUACCCCAAGGUGUAGAAGUUUUGGAGGAGGGUCUGUUCGACCUUUAAAUCCUUACAUGAUUUGAGUUCAGACCGGCGUG
rnacentral:rRNA from 1 species